GACGAACGCUGGCGGCGUGCUUAACACAUGCAAGUCGAACGGAAAGGCCCCCUUGUGGGGUACUCGAGUGGCGAACGGGUGAGUAACACGUGAGUAACCUACCCUUGACUUUGGGAUUACUUCAGGAAACUGGGGCUAAUACCGGAUAGGAGCUCCUGCUGCUUGGUGGGGGUUGGAAAGUUUCGGCGGUUGGGGAUGGACUCGCGGCUUAUCAGCUUGUUGGUGGGGUAGUGGCUCACCAAGGCUUUGACGGGUAGCCGGCCUGAGAGGGUGACCGGCAACAUUGGGACUGAGAUACGGCCCAGACUCCUACGGGAGGCAGCAGUGGGGAAUAUUGCACAAUGGGCGGAAGCCUGAUGCAGCAACGCCGCGUGAGGGAUGACGGCCUUCGGGUUGUAAACCGCUUUCGCCUGUGACGAAGCGUGAGUGACGGUAAUGGGUAAAGAAGCACCGGCUAACUACGUG
rnacentral:rRNA from 1 species